rnacentral:rRNA from 1 species
UACGUAGGGGGCGAGCGUUGUCCGGAAUUAUUGGGCGUAAAGAGCUCGUAGGCGGCUUAGUAAGUCGGCGGUGAAAUACCGAGGCUCAGCCUCGGCACUGCCGUCGAUACUGCUAUGGCUAGAGUUUGGUAGAGGAGAACGGAAUUCCCGGUGUAGCGGUGGAAUGCGCAGAUAUCGGGAGGAACACCCGUAGCGAAGGCGGUUCUCUGGGCCAAUACUGACGCUGAGGAGCGAAAGCGUGGGGAGCAAACAGG